rnacentral:tRNA from 1 species
GCGGGGGUAGUCAAGCCAGGCCAAAGGCGUAGGACUUAAGAUCCUAUCUCGAAGGAGUUCAAGGGUUCGAAUCCCUUCCCCCGCA